GUUUACUUCUUCAGUGACAGAAGGGAGGAACUCCUUUGGGUUAUGUGAGGUCAUGACUGCACCCUGUUUCGGAAGUGGAAGAUGGCAGGACGAGAAUCUUGGAGCAGUGUUUGUGUGAAGAUGUGCCAUGAAACUUGAGCAGGAAAUUAACUUAAUGAUUUCAUGCCAGUCUAACGCACAGAGGGCUGUGUGCCUGGAGCAGCUACUCCCCAUGAGAGAGGAAGAUAAACCACACAGACUGCAUGGACCAAUUAGGUGGAUCUUUUAUUAUAAAUUAAGCAAGGUAAAUGCCAGUCAGGACCUAAAAUGUUCUUCGAAAAUAGCAGGAGGAGCAGAUAUUUGCUUCAUUUCCCCUUUCCAGCUGCUGUAAUGUCGUAAUAACGUUAAGCAGCUCCCAGUUGACAAUUUCUCAUCGACCGUCACAGUCCUGAUGGUAUCUCCUAAAUAAGCUUGACUGGAGGAAGAGAGAGAGGAUCUGCUCCACAUCUCCACAAAUUCUAACAGGUGGAGGAAUGCAUUCCCAUUAUCUCCCCUCAGCAGGUGGAUAUUUAAGGGACUACUUCUGUUUUGUCUCAACCUUUAUUUUACCCUAAAGGGUUCCUCAAUGAAAAAAAAAAUAAAAAAAGCAUUUAUGAGAAUCA